rnacentral:rRNA from 1 species
UACAGAGGUGCCGAGCGUUAGGCGGAAUCACUGGGCUUAAAGCGCGUGUAGGCGGGGCGGUGCGUCGGUCGUUGAAAUCCCCCGGCCCAACCGGGGAACGGCCUCGGAUACUUUCGGCCUGGAGGCGGGUAGGGGCGAGCGGAACUGUGGGUGGAGCGGUGAAAUGCGUUGAGAUCCACAGGAACUCCGGUGGCGAAGGCGGCUCGCUGGACCCGAUCUGACGCUGAGGCGCGAAAGCCAGGGGAGCGAACGGG